rnacentral:lncRNA from 1 species
GGGUGAGGGUAAGAAGUUGGGUUAGAAUCUGGUGGAGGGGACAAUUGAUCCCAGCCAGCAAAGGCGAUGGGAAACAGGCAGAACCUGUAGCCCAGCUCAUCUCUGUGGUCGCCUGCAUGGCACCAGGAAAGCAGACUUUGGCUUCUUUAUUUCCAUUAAACCCCAGCUUUUGGAAAAGCAGACUCUCAGACUCCACAGCGGAGCUCCGGAAUGCUGCCCCAGGUUGGGCUGGAUGCAACUUUCUUUGCCAAAGCUUCUGUGGUGGUCCUGAUGCACUCCCAUGGUCAAAGGUCACCCACCUGAAGACCUGCACCCUUCCACAUCCGCUGAGCAUGAAUCUCCAUGAGAGCAGGACUCCACUGAAGCAGAAAUCCAGAGCCAAGAAGGACACAGAGUUUCUGGGGAUGGCAUUAGCCCAGGGCCCUGUUCAUUGUUUUGUGGAUGUAGAAACCAAAGCCAGAAGGACAGGUGACUUGCUCAGGGGCAUCCAGUCCAGGAGAUCACAUGGCACCUGUACCUUCUUACAGAAUCCCCAACCUGUGCAAAGGAAGUCAGCCCUGAUGGGGUAGGAUUCUAAAGAUGUUAUAGAUUAAGCUGGGUUUUCCCUGGCAUCCAUGGAAUUGCAGAAUUUUUAAACUGAAGGGACGUCAGGAAGAAGGACAACUGGGAAAAAGGAGUCACCUAUCUUGUACCACCUACCCCACUGAGAACUUUAUUUCACUUAAUCUUCAGAUUAAGUGAAGCAUUAUUAUUUCAUGUUUCCAAUGAGAGAAUGAAGGUUCAGGUGAUGAAGGUAAAUUCCCCAAGAUCAUAUAACGUGUAAGUUGGAGAGCUAGGACUCAAACUCACAAUCUUCUGGCUUCAAGUCACUAUUCCCUGAGAGGAAUCUAGAGACAGUCUAUCUACCAGGUUCAUUUUCUUCACUUGCUAGGUGAACAAAUGUGGCCCGCAGAGCUCAAUGGCUUCACCAAGGUCAAGAGUGAGUGAAUGCCAUGGCUGGGGCUGCUCUGGUCCAUGUGUUUUCCAUGCCAGAGGGUGGCCUCCUGGAGUUCUUUGGUGAUGCCUCUAGCUCUGGAUGACACCAGGCUGGUGGAGGCAGAUCCGAUGGACCAGGGAUGGAGACCUUCAUGCCACUGCUCCCUCUUCAUGGCAUCCAGAGCUCCAGGAGUCCCUUUGGAUCAGACCAAGCCACAGUCACCUUCCAGAAGGAGCCACUGGGGUGGCCAUCAAAGGCUUGGGACACACAAGCUUGGGGCAGUGGUCCAGGGGUAAAGGCCUCCAGUCUUAGGGCCUUCCCCUCCUCAUGGCCCCUGGGCCUCUUUUCUUACCUUGGGGUGCUGGCUUUUCCUUUGCUGGUUAGACCUGUGGUCCAGGGACUUCACUCAGGGCCACCCCAAGGGAGGAAUGAUGAGGGUGACCCAGUUCCUCAUUGCCGGCCUCUCCACCCUCCACCGUCUGCCUUGCUCUGUAACAUUUCUGUGAGCUUCCAGCACACACCAGCAGCCAGCCCAUCUUCUGAUUAGUUUCAGCCUGGUAAGUCCUUCCUGCCGCUGAACCACCUGUCUCCCGAGAGGACCUACGGCCAACGCCUCCCACACCAGAUGGCCACCCCCUCC